UACGUAGGGUGCGAGCGUUGUCCGGAAUUAUUGGGCGUAAAGAGCUCGUAGGCGGUCUGUCGCGUCGAUCGUGAAAACUUGGGGCUUAACCCUGAGCUUGCGGUCGAUACGGGCAUGACUGGAGUUCGGCAGGGGAGACUGGAAUUCCUGGUGUAGCGGUGGAAUGCGCAGAUAUCAGGAAGAACACCAACGGCGAAGGCAGCUCGCUGGGACGGUACUGACGCUGAGACGCGAAAGCGUGGGGAGCGAACAGG
rnacentral:rRNA from 1 species